rnacentral:misc_RNA from 1 species
GUGAAUCAUCGAAUCUUUGAACGCACAUUGCACUCCCUGGUAUUCUGGGGAGUAUGCCUGUUUGAGGGUCGUUAGAAUAAAAAAUCGAUGCGUCUCUCUUUUUUUUAAGGGUGUUCGCGUGGGACUUGACCCGUCUUUCAAAUGUUAAUUCAUGUCAAGGUGGCUUGAAGUUCAUCCUACCGGUACGAUUGAA